rnacentral:rRNA from 1 species
CCCUUAGAUGUCCUGGGCUGCACGCGCGCUACACUGAUGUGUCCAGUAAGCACCUAACCUCUUCCGAAAGGAACGGGUAACCUUUGCAAAGCAAAUCGUGAUGGGGAUAGAUUAUUGCAAUUAUUAGUCUUGAACGAGGAAUUCCUAGUAAGCACAAGUCAUCAGCUUGUGUUGAUUACGUCCCUGCCCUUUGUACACACCGCCCGUCGCUCCUACCGAUUGAAUGUUCCGGUGAGCUCUUCGGACUGCGCGGUCUGCAGUUUCUGCGUUCCGUGCGGAAAGUUGCGCAAACCUUAACAUUUAGAGGAAGGAGAAGUCGUAACA